rnacentral:tRNA from 1 species
GUGCCGGUAGCUCAGCUUGGGAGAGCUUAGAACCCCGUAAGCACAGGACUGUGGAUCCUGGGGUCGCGGGUUCGAUUCCCGCCCGGCACC